rnacentral:lncRNA from 1 species
CUGUCUCCAGUCUGACAAAGGUUAUUUGAAUGGACUUAAUCUCCCAGUAGUUGGGAGAUGUUUUAAAAACACAUGCUGUGUUUGAAUUGUGGCUGAGAGGUUUUCUUGGCAAUGUGAGGAGGAAAAUUUUUUCUGCCUCAUUAUUAUUAAUUCAUGGAUUGAGUGUUGGUUCGACCUACAGGCAUAAUAGAUUGGAACUCAGUGAAGACACAGACGUUCCUGUUGAGAGCAACCAGCUAAUGAUUACAGUUUAAAGACAAUUUCUGUGAUCAAGUUGUCAUUUGGAAGAUUAAACCCAUUUCACGAGGACUUGGAGCCUGGUCCUUGCUUUGAGGAAGCAGUGGCUUGUUUCAAGAAGCCACUUCUGAUCUAAGAAUCUACCCAGCAUGCCUAAUCAAGGAGAAGACUGCUAUUUUUUUUUCUAUUCUACAUGUACCAAAGGUGACAGCUGCCCAUUCCGUCACUGUGAAGCUGCACUAGGCAAUGAAACUGUUUGCACAUUAUGGCAAGAAGGGCGCUGUUUUCGACGGGUGUGCAGGUUUCGGCACAUGGAGAUUGAUAAAAAACGCAGUGAAAUUCCUUGUUAUUGGGAAAAUCAGCCAACAGGAUGUCAAAAAUUAAACUGCGUUUUCCAUCACAAUAGAGGACGAUAUGUUGAUGGCCUUUUCCUACCUCCGAGCAAAAGUGUGUUGCCCACUGUGCCUGAGUCACCAGAAGAGGAAGUGAAGGCUAGCCAACUUUCAGUUCAGCAGAACAAAUUGUCUGUCCAGUCCAAUACUUCCCCUCAGCUGCGGAGCGUUAUGAAAGUAGAAAGUUCCGAAAAUGUUCCUAGCCCCAAGCAUCCACCAGUUGUAAUUAAUGCUGCAGAUGAUGAUGAAGAUGAUGAUGAUCAGUUUUCUGAGGAAGGUGAUGAAACCAAAACACCUACCCUGCAACCAACUCCUGAAGUUCACAAUGGAUUACGAGUGACUUCUGUCCGGAAACCUGCAGUCAAUAUAAAGCAAGGAACUGCUGUUGUAAGCGGCUCAUCAAGAGUUGAACUUCAAGUAGCCUUGUUGGGAAUAUGGAAAAGGAAG